rnacentral:misc_RNA from 1 species
UUUCCGUAGGUGAACCUGCGGAAGGAUCAUUACAGAGUUCAUGCCCUCACGGGUAGAUCUCCCACCCUUGAAUAUUUAUACCUUAGUUGCUUUGGCAGGCCGUGGAAACACCAUGGGCUCCGGCUUAUGCGUGCCUGCCAGAGGAAACAAACUCUGUUUUUAGUGAUGUCUGAGUACUAUAUAAUAGUUAAGACUUUCAACAACGGAUCUCUUGGUUCUG